UGGAGAAGUGGUGGAUUGGUGUUUGAGCUGAGAAGAACAACAACAGCAGGGGAAAAAUCCUGUGGAGAAGGGAAACUUCAGGUUAGAAAACCUGAAGAAAGGCUAUAUAUGGUAUUGUGUUGAGCUGAGAAGAAGUUUGGUAGCAGGAAAGCAACUUGUUGGAGAUGAAACCUGAGGUUUCCAUGUGAGCAGUGCUGCGGAGCGAGGAAAGAGCGUAGCUUCGUAGAUAGCGCUCUACCACCAAGACUUGAGAUAGAAGAAUCCCAAAGUGGUCUAGCUUAGCGGUUUUGUAAGACA